rnacentral:rRNA from 1 species
AUUGAACGCUGGCGGCAUGCCUUACACAUGCAAGUCGAACGGCAGCGGACCUUCGGGUGCCGGCGAGUGGCGAACGGGUGAGUAAUAUAUCGGAACGUGCCUUUCAGUGGGGGAUAACGUAGCGAAAGUUACGCUAAUACCGCAUAUUCUCUGAGGAGGAAAGCAGGGGACCUUCGGGCCUUGCGCUGAUAGAGCGGCCGAUUUCAGAUUAGCUAGUUGGUGGGGUAAAGGCCUACCAAGGCGACGAUCUGUAGCGGGUCAGAGAGGAUGAUCCGCCCCACUGGGACUGAGACACGGCCCAGACUCCUACGGGAGGCAGCAGUGGGGAAUUUUGGACAAUGGGCGAAAGCCUGAUCCAGCCAUGCCGCGUGAGUGAAGAAGGCCUUCGGGUUGUAAAGCUCUUUCGGCCGGGAAGAAAUCGCACAGGCUAAUACCUUGUGUGGAUGACGGUACCGGAAUAAGAAGCACCGGCUAACUACGUGCCAGCAGCCGCCGUAA